rnacentral:rRNA from 1 species
UACGGAGGGAGCUAGCGUUAUUCGGAAUUACUGGGCGUAAAGCGCACGUAGGCGGCUUUGUAAGUUAGAGGUGAAAGCCUGGAGCUCAACUCCAGAAUUGCCUUUAAGACUGCAUCGCUUGAAUCCAGGAGAGGUGAGUGGAAUUCCGAGUGUAGAGGUGAAAUUCGUAGAUAUUCGCAAGAACACCAGUGGCGAAGGCGGCUCACUGGCCCGGUACUGACGCUGAGGCACGAAAGCGUGGGGAGCAAACAGG